CAUUACAGGACUCGCAAGACUCCCGUAACCCCUGUGAACAUACCUACAAACGUUGCCUCGGCGGGCCCUCGGGCCCGCCGGCGGCCCACAACUCUGUCUCGCGCGUUGGCAUCUCCGAGUACAUACCAAUAAGUUAAAACUUUCAACAACGGAUCUCUUGGUUCUGGCAUCGAUGAAGAACGCAGCGAAAUGCGAUAAGUAAUGUGAAUUGCAGAAUUCAGUGAAUCAUCGAAUCUUUGAACGCACAUUGCGCCCGCCGGUAUCCCGGCGGGCAUGCCUGUUCGAGCGUCAUUACACCCCUCAGGCCACGCCUGGCGUUGGGGCCCUGCGCGGCAGGCCCCGAAAGACAGCGGCGGGUGCGUCCCACGACCGAACGCAGUAGUUUUCUCUCGUUCCGGGCGCGGGCGCAUGCUUGCCGGAAAACACCCCCUUCUCAGUUUGACCUCGGAUCAGGUAGGAAUACCCGCUGAACUUAA
rnacentral:rRNA from 1 species